rnacentral:other from 1 species
GCUUUCCUGCGGUGUUCGUGACGGCUCAGAUUCUUUGAACCGAUAAGCUGUAUAGCAUGUUUGCCGGGUCUCCCGACGCCUGUUGUGAGCAUUCCCCAGUUUCGACUCGGAUGAAUGCACCUGAUGGCAUCGACUUGGCAGCGACUUGAACCAUUGGGUUCAAGAUGCGAGUCGGAACGACAUUCGCGGGAAGCCC